GGUCAUGGCUCAGAGGUAGAGCACAUGCCUAGCCUGCGUGAGGCACUGGGUUCAAUUCUCAGCACCA
rnacentral:tRNA from 1 species